UUGAAGUCGAGAAUGAAAGGAAAAAUUGAAAUAAGCUGUCUUAAAAGUUUUUUUUAAAAAUUACUAAUAUAGUGAAAAUUCUAUAAUAAAUUUUAAUAGACGAGAAGACCCUAUGAAUUAUUUAUUAAAAAUUUUAUUUAAAUUAUUUAAAUUUUUGUUGGGGCAACAGAAAUUUUUAAUACUAAAGAAAUUCUAAAGUUAAUAUUACAUUUGAAGUUUUACUAUAAAUGAAUUUAAUU
rnacentral:rRNA from 1 species